AGCAGGAAUCUCCGACAGAUAACAGGAGCAGGAGCAAGCAGACACAGCAAGCCUUUCCUUCUUCCAUGUCUUCAUGUAGGCUUCCAGCAGAAGGCGUGGCCCAGAUCACAAGUGGGAGGGGCUCCCGCUCAAAUAUUCUGGAUUACAGGGAGUUUUCUUCCCACGGGUGGAAAAGCACGUAAAGUUCUUCUGGAUGCGGCGCUGUUGCCCAGGAAUGUGAUGCUUCUCUUUCAUCUUCAACAGGUGAGACCCUGGAGGGUCUGCAGUGGGAGGGAAGAUGGGAAAGAGG